CAGUAGCCACGGGAAUACAGAGGGUGCGAGCGUUAAUCGGAUUUACUGGGCGUAAAGCGUGCGUAGGCGGCUUUUUAAGUCGGAUGUGAAAUCCCUGAGCUUAACUUAGGAAUUGCAUUCGAUACUGUGAAGCUAGAGUAUGGGAGAGGAUGGUAGAAUUCCAGGUGUAGCGGUGAAAUGCGUAGAGAUCUGGAGGAAUACCGAUGUCGAAGGCAGCCAUCUGGCCUAAUACUGACGCUGAGGUACGAAAGCAUGGGGAGCAAACAGGAUUAGAGACCCCCGUAGUCCCUGUCUCUUAUAC
rnacentral:rRNA from 1 species